rnacentral:snRNA from 1 species
AAGUCUGUUUUGGCUGAUCUGGCUGGCUAGGUAGGCUCCCCCUUCCUCCCUCAUGGCUCUAUAUGUAUCUCUUCUAAAGCUGUAUACCCAGUUGAAGUUGUCCUUCCCUGAUAAAGAAGGAUCGAUCCUUGGACAAGGGUAGAUAAUAGCUGUGCUCCUUGUAAGAAUCUCCAAGCAAACUUUCUUAAGAUUCUACUUCAUUUUUUAAGAGUAUAAGACAGUCCAUGGAUUCUACCCAUCCCAUCUCCUUCUGUGGCACAGAGGACUGGAU